rnacentral:rRNA from 1 species
UACAGGGGGUGCAAACGUUGCUCGGAAUUAUUGGGCGUAAAGCGCGCGUAGGCGGCUACUUAAGUCGGAUGUGAAAGCCCUUGGCUCAACUGAGGAAGUGCACCCGAAACUGAGUAGCUGGAGUACGAAAGAGGGUCGCGGAAUUCCCGGUGUAGAGGUGAAAAUUCGUAGAUAUCGGGAGGAACACCGGUGGCGAAGGCGGCGACCUGGGUAGAUACUGACGCUGAGGCGCGAAAGCGUGGGGAGCAAACAGG